GACGAACGCUGGCGGCGUGCUUAACACAUGCAAGUCGAACGGAAAGGCCCUGCUUUUGUGGGGUGCUCGAGUGGCGAACGGGUGAGUAACACGUGAGUAACCUGUCCUUGACUUUGGGAUAACUUCAGGAAACUGGGGCUAAUACCGGAUAGGAGCUCCUGCUGCAUGGUGGGGGUUGGAAAGUUUCGGCGGUUGGGGAUGGACUCGCGGCUUAUCAGCUUGUUGGUGGGGUAGUGGCUUACCAAGGCUUUGACGGGUAGCCGGCCUGAGAGGGUGACCGGCCACAUUGGGACUGAGAUACGGCCCAGACUCCUACGGGAGGCAGCAGUGGGGAAUAUUGCACAAUGGGCGGAAGCCUGAUGCAGCAACGCCGCGUGCGGGAUGACGGCCUUCGGGUUGUGAACCGCUUUCGCCUGUGACGAAGCGUGAGUGACGGUAAUGGGUAAAGAAGCACCGGCUAACUACGUG
rnacentral:rRNA from 1 species